UACGAAGGGGGCUAGCGUUGCUCGGAAUCACUGGGCGUAAAGCGCACGUAGGCGGGUCCUUAAGUCAGGGGUGAAAUCCUGGAGCUCAACUCCAGAACUGCCUCUGAUACUGAGGGUCUCGAGUUCGGGAGAGGUGAGUGGAACUGCGAGUGUAGAGGUGACAUUCGUAGAUAUUCGCAUGAACACCAGUGGCGAAGGCGGCUCACUGGCCCGAUACUGACGCUGAGGUGCGAAAGCGUGGGGAGCAAUCAGG
rnacentral:rRNA from 1 species